UACGUAGGGGGCGAGCGUUAUCCGGAUUUACUGGGCGUAAAGCGCGUUAAGGCGGUUGGCAAAGUUGGUUGUGAAAUCUCAGGGCUCAACCCUGAAAUUGCGACCAAUACUGGUCGACUAGAGUGCAAGAGAGGAAGGUGGAAUUCCCGGUGUAGUAGUGAAAUGCGUAGAUAUCGGGAGGAACACCAGUGGCGAAGGCGGCCUUCUGGCUUGCAACUGACGCUGUAGCGCGAAAGCGUGGGGGAGCGAACCGG
rnacentral:rRNA from 1 species